rnacentral:rRNA from 1 species
GAUGAACGCUGGCGGCGUGCCUAACACAUGCAAGUCGAGCGGACGGACGAGGAGUUUGCUUCUCUGAUGUUAGCGGCGGACGGGUGAGUCACACGUGUAUACCCUACCUAUAAUACUGGGAUCACUUCGGGAAACCGGAUAUAAUACCGGAUGAUAUUUUGAACCGCAUGGUUCAUCAGUGAAAGCCGGUCUUGCUGUCACUUAUAGAUGGUUCCACGCUGCAUUGGCUAGUUGGUAGGGUAACGGCUUACCAAGGCGACGAUGCGUAGCCGAGGUGAGAGGGUGAUCGGCCACACGGGAACUGAGACACGGUCCAGACUCCUAAGGGAGGGAGCAGUCGGGAAUCUUCGGCAAUGGUGGAAAGCCUGACGCAGCGACGCCGCGUGUGUGAUGAAGGUCUUCGGAGCGUAAAGCUCUGUUAGGAGGGAAGAACAGAUGUGUAAGUAGACGUGGACAUCGUGACGGUACCUAGUCAAAAAGCAACGGCUAACUACGUG